UACGGAGGAUCCGAGCGUUAUCCGGAUUUAUUGGGUUUAAAAGGGUGCGCAGGCGGGGGAUUAAGUCGGCGGUGAAAUUUUGCAGCUCAACUGUAAAAGUGCCUUCGAAACUGGUUUCCUUGAGUGUAGAUGAAGUAGGCGGAAUUUGUGGUGUAGCGGUGAAAUGCAUAGAUAUCACGAGGAACUCCGAUUGCGCAGGCAGCUUACUAAACUACUACUGACGCUCAUGCACGAAGGCGUGGGGAUCAAACAGGAUUAGAUACCCCUGUA
rnacentral:rRNA from 1 species